GUUUAUGGCCAUGCUAUCCUGAACAAACCCAGUCUUGUCUGAUCUCGGAAGCUAAGCAGAGUCGGGCCUGGUUAGUACUUGGAUGGGAGACCACCUAGGAAGACCAGGUGCUGUAGGCA
rfam:Pteropus alecto contig6874, whole genome shotgun sequence.